GACGAACGCUGGCGGCGUGCUUAACACAUGCAAGUCGAACGGUAAGGCCCUUCGGGGUACACGAGUGGCGAACGGGUGAGUAACACGUGGGUGAUCUGCCCUGCACUUCGGGAUAAGCCUGGGAAACUGGGUCUAAUACCGGAUAGGACCACUGCCUGCAUGGGUGGUGGUGGAAAGCUUUUGCGGUGUGGGAUGGGCCCGCGGCCUAUCAGCUUGUUGGUGGGGUGAUGGCCUACCAAGGCGACGACGGGUAGCCGGCCUGAGAGGGUGACCGGCCACGCUGGGACUGAGAUACGGCCCAGACUCCUACGGGAGGCAGCAGUGGGGAAUAUUGCACAAUGGGCGCAAGCCUGAUGCAGCGACGCCGUGUGAGGGAUGACGGCCUUCGGGUUGUAAACCUCUUUCAGCACCGACGAAGCGCAAGUGACGGUAGGUGCAGAAGAAGGACCGGCCAACUACGUGCCAGCCGCCGCGGUAA
rnacentral:rRNA from 1 species